rnacentral:lncRNA from 1 species
UAAUUGAAAAGGUAAUAUUUGUUAGAGUGGCUUUAUUCUUUCUAUUUCAGUUGUGCUCAUGCACCUUUGUGAGGAUCAGGACCCACUGCGGCAAACAUAAACCCACCUGGCAUGGCUCUACUCUUGCUCCAGAAGGUUGUGGCUCGUUGUUCGAGAGACCAAUGGGCAGGAGGAUUGGGAUGGAACUCCUGAAGCAAGCAAUACUGAAAGAGACCUUCCCAAGCUGGACUGGGCAGGAGAGUUUCUCAUUUGUUAAGGUCAACUACAAAAUUUCGGGGCUCAGAAUUAAUGCUGUAGAUUUCCCAGAAACUUC